rnacentral:piRNA from 1 species
UGUAAAUGAAUCAGCAGCUGUUCGAAUAAG